UCCUAUCUUUUGACAGCAUGUAGCGUAAAUCAGUGAAGUGUACAAUUUAAAUUUUACAUUUUGGGUCAAAAUUUUCGUAUUCCAUUAAUUUAUUAAUAAAAUGGCUUUUCCUCGCUUACCACUUAAGUCCCACAUGAGGCUAUUAUCACCGCUUUCGCCGAAAAAAGCUAAUAUAUCGACUUGCUCAAAUGUACCUCUUGUUAACAAGGUGGAUAAGGCGAAGAGGCUCCUAGACAGGGAUGAUAAAACUGACGUAUUUCAGCGAGGACGAGUCCGUUACCGAUCUUUUAAAAAUACUCGCGAAGAGAAAAAAUUGAGAUCUGUACAAAAUCAACAGAUCGAUAGCAUAAGUACAGAAAGUCGAAGUAAAUCAGCACCCUUGUUUCACUCCAUAGAAGAUCAUUUACAGCCACGAAAAGUUGUAAUUUCAACAAAAAAAGCGAACCCCAACUCAUUUUCCGUUCUGAACCCUAAAAAUACUGCAGACAAUAGGUACGUUGCAUACAUCCAAAAUCAAAGAUCCCAAUUGGAUUUAGCACCCACUAAAAACGACAAACAGCCGAAGCAGAACAAUACUAAAAAAACUAGCGCAGAUGACGAAUGUGAUAAUCUUAAUGAUAUUAUUAAUACGAACACCGAAAACCCAGUGCGAUAUAAUUUGAACAAAGUUAAGGAAAAUAUCAAUUUGCACGCGGAAUGUAUCAAAGAAGUUUACGAUACCGUUGUUUCGUUCAGAAGGAAAUAUCCCCGCUAUAAAUACCAAUCAAUUAGCACCUAUAGAGGAUCAGAAUUGAAAAGAAACGUAGAAGAAAUUAUAAAUUUUUUUCAAGAUCUGAAAGAUAGAGUGGUUGUCCGCAGUUCUAACGCGUUAACGAACGAAUCAUAUUCGCAAAGAAGAUACGAUAAUACAACAGACUUUCUUCAAUCUUAUCAGAUGUACGAAAGUCGAACCAAAGAAAACGAUGUACCAAUAUACCCAACCCCUUCAUCCACCACAAUUAAUAUACCGGAUGAAAUUUCCGAAAGCGACAGUAACAUAAACAGUGAAUGUAGACAUGAUGCUCCGUAUAAAUCCUAUUCUGAAGUGUUAACGGAAAUGUUGAAAUCAACACCUAAAGCUAAUACCAGUAGUGGACUAAAGACUUGGAAAACAGAAAGUAGUUCUCCAAUUCUCUCCCACCAUUUUAACAGUGACACUAACAGUAGCGCAAAUUUUUCUCAGCAAAAAGCAUCUUUUUCGAACCAUGCAUUAAAAUCGACCUGCAAAGCUACGCGAAUAGCGAAAACUGAAAAAAAUUUCUCCACCUCACCAACUUGCUUUUGGGUAAAAUGUGGUAAACCUCCUUCAAAAUCAAAGUGUGAUUUAGAAGAAGAAGAAAAAGGCCCCAUAGAAACAUGCCGCUGUGUACAACCUGUGAAUCCAGAAUGCCAGCCGGUUUGUCCAGAAAUGCCCAAAACCGCACCGCCAUUGAAACGACUAAAGAAAGUUGAAAUUCCCGAACCCAAAAAGGUAUGUCCACCUCCUCCUUGUGACGAUGUAAUACGAGCAGACGAUAAUUAUAAAAUUGAACCAAAAAAAUUGCCUGUUUUAAAACCUUCUUCCUGCCCAUGCGUUGAACCAUUUGUUCCCUCUAAAUCAGUUCCUCUAAAAAGAUUAGUACCUGUUAAUACACCUAAAGAGCCAGAAAAAAUUUGUCUUGAGGAAAAAUGUCCACCUCGAGCGGAUGAUAAUUAUAAAGUAGUUGCCAGAGAGCUACCCAAGUUACUUCCCUCAGACUGCCCGUGUAUAGAACCAGAAAUACCAACCAAAGCUCCUUGUUUAAAACGAUUAAAGCUUAAAGUUACCGAACCACCACGAGUAUGUAAUCCCUGCGAAGUAGAAAUUUGCUGCCCACCUAGAAUGGAUGAUGGCUUAAAGGUAACACAGAAAAAACUACCUCCAAUGGAAGCAUCAGCAUGUCCAUGUGUUGAACCACACGUUCCAAGCAAAGCACCGUCAUUGAAGAGAUUGGGACCAAUAAACAUUAUUGAUGCACCUAAGGUCUGCCCCGUGGAAGAGUGUCUUCCGACAAUGGACCAAUUAGCGAAUUUCAAAAUUGUAAAACGGAACCUACCUCCAUUGGAAAUUUCCAAUUGUCCAUGUAUUGAACCAAAAAUUCCUAGUGAAGCACCACGGCUAAAGCGUCUCAAAAAAGUGGACAUUCCUGAACCUCCUAAAAUAUGCCCACCACCAUUCUGCGAUGAUACGGUAAGGGCUGAUGAUAAUUACAGAGUCGAACCAAAACAAUUACCGAAAGUACCCACGGGUUCAUGCCCUUGUGUUGAACCCUUCAUUCCGUCAAAAAGUCCCCCGUUAAAGAGACUUACGCCGAUCGAUAUACCUGAGCCGGAAAAAAUAUGUAUUGAAGAAACAUGUCCACCAAGAGCAGACGACAAUUACAAAGUAGUUGCCAGAGAGCUACCCAAGUUACUUCCCUCAGACUGCCCGUGUGUAGAACCAGAAAUACCAACCAAAGCUCCUUGUCUAAAACGAUUAAAGUUUAAAGUUACCGAACCACCACGAGUAUGCAAUCCCUGCGAAGUAGAAAUUUGCUGCCCACCUAGAAUGGAUGAUGGCUUAAAGGUAACACAGAAAAAACUACCUCCAAUGGAAGCAUCAGCAUGUCCAUGUGUUGAACCACACGUUCCAAGUAAAGCACCGUCAUUAAAGCGACUGGGACCAGUAAAUAUUAGAGAUCCACCAAAAAUCUGUCCUGUAGAAGAAUGUCCUCCUACAAUGGAUCAACUAGCUGGUUAUAAAGUUAAACCGAAAAAGUUAAAAACGUUAAUACUUAACGAAUGCUUCAACACGAUGAGUACAAAGGAGUAUAAUGAACGAUUUCAAGGAAAAACGCACACUCCUAAAAGAAAAUUUGGAACUAAAACUAUGUUUCCAAACUACCUGAGUAAAAAGUAUGACAACUUCUAUUCGGGGAAUAACUUUAACUAUGAUUCUUUUCGUUACGUAAACCAAGAUUAUACAUGUCAACCGUAUUUAUUAUCUUCCUGCUCAAAUCCUUCGUCAUCAACAGACGAUGAAAAUAUUCGAGAAGAACAAACUGAAGAAGGGCAAGAUUUUGUCACGAAGUUUGCAACUCAAUGCAAACGCUUUUUAUCUGAUGUGGCAUUUACGCUUUCUUCAUUUAGAAAAGUCAAGGAGCAUUUUGAGGGAAUGCAAAGUCCCCAAAACAACCCAACGUGUGUAUCUCAAGAGAAAACUGACUUACCGAAUAACGCAAAGGAUAAUAAUUGUAAAGCAUUUGUACCAAAUAUUUCUAAUAUGUUUCGUACGCAACAGUCCCAUUUGUUGGAUAAAGAUCUAUUAGUUGUUGGUCACCAACUAAAAAUAUCUCAUGACAAAGGUCACUCUUCACCUUCAUCACAAAUGCAUGUCGAAAGAGAAACGAAAAGUUCGAAUCAAAUGUGUAAAAAGUCUUCGAAAAAUGCAAGGAUCGUUCACAAAUGCGGAAAGCUCUACAAAGUAAAACAUAGUUGCCAACAUCGGUUUGUACAUCGAAAAAGAAGGAUAACAAUUGUCCGUAACAAUAGUAAUCACAUUAAUAGAAAGAAUGUUCCCAGCAUUACAACUUCAAAGAAAAGUUCGCAUUUAAAUUGUAAUAACGAAAUUAGCAAUGAAUUUAAGAGAAAUGACGUCUUCAUAUUGCAUUAUCCCAAUAGAUAUUCGAGUAAUUCAAGAAUAAAAUGUAAUACAAUUACUUCCCUCAGAAAACAAUCGUCACCCAAAUUCCAAAUGCAAAAUUUUCCCAGAAAAUGUUGCAAGAUAAAAUUGAACUGCAAACGUCGUGAUAAGUACUUAACAGGUUUCAGACUGUUAAGAAAUGUUUCAAAAACCAAAAUGAAUAAUAAAAUGCGGCGUUUGAAAGACAAUUCACCCCAACGGAAUAUAGAAAAACAACAAAUACAUGGUAACAGUAAUUAUUUAGAAGAUAAGGAAAAUAAUAUCAAACUGGAAUGCGAAUCAUCUCAAUUGCUUUAUGAAAGUUUUCUGGGUAUGAUUCAAAGACUUGCAAAGUGCCCCAUGUCCGGGGAAGUUGAAGAAAAUGAAGUGCGAUUAAAAGCUUAUAUUAUUUUGGAAGUUCUCCGGAAAUUGCAGAAGUUUACUGCUGAGGAACCCAAACAGCCACAAAAUUCUCUUACUGAAAAUCAAGUUCAAUUUCGAUUAUUUCCUUCGAAUACAUGUAUGAAAGAGGAAGGUCAUAUUACAAAACACCUGGAGGUAAAAAGUUGCUAGCAAGAUGUGACAGGAUAUCGAAAUCACCAGAUUAUUCGAAAUCGAAAAUCCUAAGGUUUUUAGUGGUUCUCAAAAAUUAAGUAAAUGCAUGGGUUCUUGAGGACAUGGGCAGUUAGAACGACAAAGUCAUGUCAUGGCUCUGGUAAAGUCUGCUGUGAUAUUAAUAUAGACUAAAAAAAUUAUAACGAGUAUAAUUUUCUACGUAUAUUUAAAUACUACAGGGGAAAUUAUAAAUUUCGACUCUUUUAUCUGUAAUAAUAAUUACCUGAUCAUCAACAACUGAAACGGUGUAAUUUUACAAAAUAAUCACUUGGCGUUACUGUUGAGUUCUUCGUCACUUCAUGGAGAAGUAAAUUGAUUAAAAAACCUUUUAAGGAAGAUGUCCCAAGUGUGUUGGAGUACAAAAUAAUGUGGAAGAGAAGUCACAUUCUUAUGUUCUUUGUUUUUUUGUUUUUGAACGUUAAAUAAAUGUUUG